GAUUACGGCCAUACCACCCUGACAACGCCUGAUCUCGGAAGCUAAGCAGAGUUGGGCUGGGUCAGUACUUGGAUGGGUGACCGCCUGGGAAUACCCGGUGCUGUAAGCA
rnacentral:rRNA from 1 species